rnacentral:rRNA from 1 species
UACGAAGGGGGCUAGCGUUGUUCGGAUUUACUGGGCGUAAAGGGCGCGUAGGCGGGCGACUAAGUCAGGGGUGAAAUCCCAAGGCUCAACCUUGGAACUGCCUUUGAUACUGGUUGUCUUGAGUCCGGGAGAGGUGAGUGGAACUGCGAGUGUAGAGGUGAAAUUCGUAGAUAUUCGCAAGAACACCAGUGGCGAAGGCGGCUCACUGGCCCGGAACUGACGCUGAGGCGCGAAAGCUAGGGGAGCAAACAGG